UACGUAGGGUGCGAGCGUUGUCCGGAAUUAUUGGGCGUAAAGAGCUCGUAGGCGGUCUGUCGCGUCGGUCGUGAAAACUUGGGGCUUAACCCUGAGCUUGCGGUCGAUACGGGCAUGACUGGAGUUCGGCAGGGGGAGACUGGAAUUCCUGGUGUAGCGGUGAAAUGCGCAGAUAUCAGGAGGAACACCGAUUGCGAAGGCAGACUCGCUGGGACGUUACUGACGCUGAGACGCGAAAGCGUGGGGAGCAAACAGG
rnacentral:rRNA from 1 species